GAUGAACGCUGGCGGCGUGCUUAACACAUGCAAGUCGAACGGAAAGGCGCUGAUUUUGUGGGGUGCUCGAGUGGCGAACGGGUGUGUAACACGUGAGUAACCUGCCCUUGACUUUCGGAUAAAUUCAGGAAACUGGGGCUCAUACCGGAUAGGAGCUACUGCUGCAUGGUGGGGGUUGGAAAGUUUCGGCGGUUGGGGAUGGACUCGCGGCUUAUCAGCUUGUUGGUGGGGUAGUGGCUUACCAAGGCUUCGACGGGUAGCCGGCCUGAGAGGGUGACCGGCCACAUUGGGACUGAGAUACGGACCAGACGCCAACGUGAGGCAGCAGUGGGGAAUAUUACACAAUGGGCGGAAGCCAGAUGCAGCAACGCCGCGUGCGUAAUGACGUCCUUCGGGGUGUGAACCGCUGUCGCCUGUGACGAAGCGUGAGUGACGGUAAUGAGUAAAGAAGCACCGGCUAACUACGUG
rnacentral:rRNA from 1 species